GCAGCAGUCAGGGGCUUGCUACUCUUCGCAGCCCUGUUUCUUUUCUUGUGAUGAGAAGAAACAAGCCCAGGCUGACAGCUGGCCAAGACUUGAACUAGAAUGUUGAAGUUGAAAAGUCAAAAUGGGUCUGUGUCAAAGGACUAGCAGAGGGGAAGGGACUGUCCUCCGGGGAGCUGAGGAGUGAGGAUGGUCCUCACCUCGAUCCAGCGAUCAAAUUCCCCAAGUAAAUCCAUGUAAAACAUGAACUGUGGCCAGCACUUGUUAAGCAAGGAAUAUUAAAAAUCAUUGUCAUUACUGCUGCUAUUAUUGUUACAGGCUUGUUCCAAGACUCUGGGUUUUGGCUCAGCUUGUCUAAAUGGUCUUCCAUCUUAAGGAAUCAAGGGGUAGAUUUUGGAACCACUAGCUCCAUAGCCAAAGAAGGAGCAAUCCAGCAACUUAGGCAUUGAUUCCGCAAGCCGUCCCAGAGCCUCUGUGUAGUCCUUACUUUCCCUAAAUUGCCAUGACUAGCUGGCUCAAGUUAGGCCUUUCUAAUUUACCUGGACCGUUGCUGUCUCCUGUGCACGGCUGCGGGGAUGAGCACCUUGUUGUGCGUUCCUCCGCUGGGCUGACGGAAAUGGUUUGCAGCCAGACUGCUACGCCACGCGGUCUGGCAUUUAGUCCUCAGAAAUCUGAUUUAGAGAACGUAUACAUUGCAUCACAAUCUAGAUUUCAGAGGAAAGUUUUGGAUAGAAUAACCCAGACCCAAGUCUGGGUAAUUUAAAGCCUGGGUGAAAUGGGGCAGAAAGAGCCCAGAAUAUACAGGCUAGAGAAACUCAGGAACUACUGACCCACAGGGAAGGCAAGCGGAGAUAUGAGACGGAGGAAUCAAACGCUGCCCUGGUGGAGGACGCUGUGGGUUUACAGUGGAUGAUUUCCUCUGCCUAUGAGAUAAAAGGGCUGGCUCUGUACUUUGAACCCCAGCCUCACCCACCUCUGCCUGGGUGUGGCUCUUACUCUCUGGAAGACUUACUCAGGGGAGAGGACAGGACAGUGUGAGGCUUGAAUCUCCAGGAAAUAGAGUCUGUGGGCAGCCAUUGACUCCGAGUCAAUGAGAACAAGGUGUGCUGUUUCCUCUGUGCUGUUUCUUCCCUGCCCCACUCCCCGCCCCUUUGUCCUAUGGUGCCCAGGCUGCCUGCACUGCCCAGAUACCACAGGCCUUGCCAGGGACCUCCUGAGAGGUUUCUGAGGCUUGCAGCCAGUGGUCCCGUUAGUCUGCACGUCUCCGAGUUGCCCUCCCAGAGGAGAAAGCAUAUGCUGCUGGGACCGACUGCAGCUCCUCAUGGAUGCACCUGCCACCAGAAAAUUGUUGUUCAGUCUGGGAUUGCUUUCUCUUCCCAAAGCACAAUCUCACAUGCAGUCAUGAGCCCAGUCCAGCCUCUGGGACAGAAGAUUUCGUGCUUUUAUAAACCAACAGCACUGCAGGUGCUGCACAAGGAAUGGAAAAUCAAUCUGAGUGUCAUUAAGAGCAUACUCCCUGAAGAAGAUUGCUGAUGACAGUGGAUUUGUCACCCAGCUCAGUGUCUUUUCCUGAGCAAUAGGAAUUUCUUCCAUGGGGAAUGAAACCUAGUGUUGUUUCCCUGUCUGAAUCCAGGCCUUUCACUGACCUGCCAAGUUUUCAUUCCAUUGUCUCACUGUCAUUGGCUGAUCUGAUCUCUACAUUGAUUAAUUAGUUUCAAGCCCCUUCAUACUGAUCUAAUAAAAUUGGCUUGUUUAAUUUGUG
rnacentral:lncRNA from 1 species